rnacentral:rRNA from 1 species
CUCGUAGGUGGCCAACUAAGUCAGACGUGAAAUCCCUCGGCUUAACCGGGGAACUGCGUCUGAUACUGGAUGGCUUGAGGUUGGGAGAGGGAUGCGGAAUUCCAGGUGUAGCGGUGAAAUGCGUAGAUAUCUGGAGGAACACCGGUGGCGAAGGCGGCAUCCCGGACCAAUUCUGACGCUGAGGAGCGAAAGCCAGGGGGAGCAAACG